GAUCAUGGCUCAGGAUGAACGCUAGCUACAGGCUUAACACAUGCAAGUCGAGGGGCAGCAUGAAGUAGCAAUACUCAGAUGGCGACCGGCGCACGGGUGAGUAACACGUAUCCAACCUGCCGCUUACUCGGGGAUAGCCUUUCGAAAGAAAGAUUAAUACCCGAUGGUAUAAAGAGUUCGCAUGUUCUCUUUAUUAAAGAAUUUCGGUAAGCGAUGGGGAUGCGUUCCAUUAGAUAGUUGGCGGGGUAACGGCCCACCAAGUCUACGAUGGAUAGGGGUUCUGAGAGGAAGGUCCCCCACAUUGGAACUGAGACACGGUCCAAACUCCUACGGGAGGCAGCAGUGAGGAAUAUUGGUCAAUGGACGCGAGUCUGAACCAGCCAAAGUAGCGUGAAGGAUGACUGCCCUAUGGGUUGUAAACUUCUUUUAUAAGGGAAUAAAGUGAGGGACGUGUCCCUCUUUGUAUGUACCUUAUGAAUAAGGAUCGGCUAACUCCGUGCCAGCCGCGGC
rnacentral:rRNA from 1 species